AAAAAGGGGAGAAUCAUGGCCAAAACGGGAGUGUUGACGUGUAUAAUCCGUGUUGCUUUUCCACGCUACUGGAGUCCAGGGUUUCAAAGCUGAUGCAAUGGUAACUUCUGGACAGGGAGGUGUAUAACAGUGUAUGUGGCGAGACUUGAUUUAAUUGGAAUUGAUCCAAGAGCUUCUGGUUUGUGUGCAUUCAUGUAUUUGGAGGCAGCUUGGCUUUGGACGGAGAUUUGCAUCGAGAACUUGAUCGGACUCCAUCUCUUCAACCCUUCUUCUGUUCGUGUUUGUUGUCAUCUUCCAUACUUUACUCAGGACUUCUCCAUCACCCUCUCACAGAACCAUCAAGACUGACAGAGAGCGAGACUGAGGUAGAGAAUGGUACAAUAACGGCCUCUGUGCCAGUACGCCGGUCGGGCCGUGAGGAAGGGAGCUCAACGAAAGCAGUGUGGACAGAGAGAGAGUUAUGAAUAACCCUUCCUCUGCCCAUCUCCACCAGGCUCGAGUGCACAAGGACGGGCCUGUACCUCAGAAGGGCGAGAAAACCAACACCACACACCUCGAACGCUGUGCAUCAGAGCCCCUAUUGUAUAUGCCACUUUUCUCAGGAUACUCUACACCUCUCCAUGCAGGACUAAUGGAUAUUUUCGCUAUCUUUCUCUCUCCUAGUCCACUCUCUUACUCUCUGGAGACUACCUGCUUUCUCUAUCAUGCCCUUUACAAAGAUCACAGAGGAGCAGAGGUGAGAGAGACCCCUGCUAACAGGCACACAUGUAUGUAUACAUCAGUAUGGGGGUGACAGACAGUGUAACUAGCGACGAAUAGAAAGACGACUAUCUUACUAGGUGCAUUAAUUCAUAGCAAUAAAAGUAGCCUGGCUGUUAAAAGAAACGUCUCUUUGCUAGGUAUUUCAAACACUGUUUUUAUAAGA